rnacentral:rRNA from 1 species
GACGAACGCUGGCGGCGCGCUUAACACAUGCAAGUCGAACGGAAAGGCCCUGCUUUUGUGGGGUGCUCGAGUGGCGAAAGGGUGAGGAACACGUGAGUAACCUGCCCUUGACCUUGGGAUAACUUCAGGAAACUGGGGCCAAUACCGGAUAGGAGCUCCUGCUGCGUGGUGGGGGUUGGAAGGUUUGGGCGGUUGGGGAUGGAUUGGCGGGGUAUCGGCUUGUUGGCUGGGUGGUGGCUUACCAAGGGUUUGACCGGUAGGCGGCCUGAGGGGGUGAGCGGCCACAUUGGAACUGAGAUCCGGACCAGGCUCUGGCGGGUGGCAGCAGUGGGGAAGAUUGCAGAAUGGGCGGAGGCCUGAUGCAGCAACGCCGCGUGGGGGAUGACGGCCUUCGGGUUGUAAGCCGCUUUCGCGUGUGACGAAGCGUGAGUGACGGUAGUGGGUAAAGAAGCGCCGGCUAACUACGUG